AGAACGAACGCUGGCGGCAGGCCUAACACAUGCAAGUCGAACGCCCCGCAAGGGGAGUGGCAGACGGGUGAGUAACGCGUGGGAACAUACCCUUCGGUUCGGAAUAGCUCAGGGAAACUUGAAUUAAUACCGGAUACGUCCGCAAGGAGAAAGAUUUAUCGCCGAAGGAUUGGCCCGCGUCUGAUUAGCUAGUUGGUGAGGUAACGGCUCACCAAGGCGACGAUCAGUAGCUGGUCUGAGAGGAUGAUCAGCCACAUUGGGACUGAGACACGGCCCAAACUCCUACGGGAGGCAGCAGUGGGGAAUAUUGGACAAUGGGCGAAAGCCUGAUCCAGCCAUGCCGCGUGAGUGAUGAAGGCCCUAGGGUUGUAAAGCUCUUUCGUCAGGGACGAUAAUGACGGUACCUGAAGAAGAAGCCCGGCUAACUCGCGCCAGCAGCCGC
rnacentral:rRNA from 1 species